rnacentral:lncRNA from 1 species
GCCCCUUCAACCAGAUCACUUCCGCUGAAAGUUUGCAUCUCCCAGUAUCAGUGUUGGGGAAGCCAAAUGAAAUCUAUCAAUCCCAGUUCAGAAUGUAAAGAAACUGAAGAUCCUCUUUCCCCAUAUGGAUUAUUAUAUCAUCAUAGCAUUUGGAGAAGCCAAGAUCAACAAAAAAGCAGUUAGCAGAAUUGUACAUGGCGAUCAUCAGCAGUAUGAAGAGGAGCUGUGGGGCCAGUGAGAGAAGCUGCAGCCUGUUGAGACUCCACAAGACUGAAGAUAUGAAAAGAGGAAAUAUGCAUGAAUGCCCGCACGGAGAACCACCCCCACCUGCUGCUCCCGCUCUAAUGAUCACGCCCAUUAUCAACUGGGGGAUGGCUCUGUGCCUUGUCCUUGCAUUACAUGGACCAAGAACACUUCACAGGACUCAGAGAGGAACCCGAAAGGAAGAAGCUAUACGACUGGGGACACAUGUCUUAGAAGCACACUCAUUAGAUAAAGUGUCGCAUACUCUUUGAUAAGUGACUCAGAACACCCGUGUCCUUCCCAACAUUGGAUGCAAUGCUAAAGACAUGAUGUUGCUCCUGCUGGACCACACCUUGAAGGAAUUGCCUACCCCACCUCACCUCCAAAAUUAAAGUCUUUCGUUUUGACAAAAGUUAAUGAUAAGGUUUGAUGUGCUAAUUUCAGCACCUCCACUUCAUGUCUACACUGUGGACAUAUACUUUUUUGUUGUUUUGGGGUUUUU